UUUAUGUGGAGAGUUUGAUCCUGGCUCAGGACGAACGCUGGCGGCAUGCCUAACACAUGCAAGUCGAACGGAGAGCUAAAGUUUCGAUGGAGGCUCUUAGUGGCGGACGGGUGAGUAACGCGUGGAUAACCUGCCUGAGAGUGGGGGAUAACAGCCCGAAAGGGCUGCUAAU
rnacentral:rRNA from 1 species